AACCUGCCAGGUGUGGGUCAUUUGACCUUUGCUGUAUAGGAAGCCUGAGGACUUGUGGGGGAAUUGCCUCCCCAGGAGAGACUGAGGCUUAGGUAGCCUAGGGUGUUUUUCUCUUGUGGUGACUCGGGCUCAGUGUUCCUUACUAGGCUGCUUUUUCUUCAUGUUUUCUGCCCUCUCUGUGAAAUAGUUUUAGAGACUCAAUGAGCUAGUUACAUUGGUGGUGCCUUCUUCAGAAAAACCCUGGUGGCACUACUUCACUGCGAAGCACUUUGGAAGCGACUUGAGUUCAGAAGACAGCAGGUGGAUUCUAAGCUCCCUUCCAAGCACUGGAGGAAAAAAAAACAAAGCCUCAGAAGCCCAAGUGCACACAGGUCAGCCUGACAUUGAAGAAGGUUCUUGAGUAUUUGGAAGAUUAAAAAAUGGGCUGUGUGAAAAAGGUGCCUUAAUGUGAAUGCAGAUUUUGCCUUGUGGUCAAAAGCAGUAUGAAGAAAGUCUGUCAUCUUCCUUUCAGACCUGUGUCUCAGCUGGGGACUACUUCCUGAACAGGUCCAGCAACUUGAAGAGAACUGAACUUCCUCCCAAGCUCUAUGAAGCAGAGUCUCAGCUAUCAGGGGGAUUCAUCUAUCUGUAAUACCACUCUGUUCAAAGCUGCACACUGGUAUUCUAAAAAGACCUGCAACUCCCUUGAUGAUUGCUACAUCUUGUGGAAAAAUAGCAGGGUGCCUGAUCAAGCCAAUUGAAGACAUAAAUUAUUGGCUUGUAAAGUUUUUGCUGUUGUUUCAUGGAACAGACUUCCUUUCUGAAAUCAAUAUCAGUGUACAGAAGGCAUAAUCUAACUCCCAUUCUGGCAUCCUUGUACUUAUCACUGUCACAGACAAGAUACGGUACCCCACAUCCUGCUCUGCUAAUGUGCGUAUCACCUCACUGACUUCAGAAUGACUUUUUUGGCCAGUACCUGUGGACACUGGGAACCCUGUGAGUCAAUCCAAAAUAAAUCUAGACACAGUCAGCAGUUUCAUAUCUGAACAGUUUGCAUCGUUUGUCACUCAGGCAUACUAUUCUGAAAGUAAAAUAUCUUUAGGCCACUCCUGUGCUGCAUGGCUGCUGCUUGGGCCAGGAUACACAGUGCUGUGAGCACUUCUGCCUCCUCAGCUGAAUUAUUUUGGUAUUUGUUGGUGAUUGUGGAGAUAUCAAUUUGCAUGCUGCUCCUUCUGGAAAGAAAUUAGCCCUGGUGUUGUGCCCUACUGUACAUCCAUAUGUGCAACAUUAACUGCACCCAGAUCCAUCUGCUCAGACCCAUCUUCCUCCAUCUGCCACCAUGCUCCAUGUUAUCCAUAGGACAUUGCAUCAGAAUUAUGAAUCAUCCUCUCUAGGCUCUUGAUAUCUUAUUGUAACAGAUGGGAAUAACAUAUAUUCCAUAAUAAUGAUCCUGGAUAUAUCUGUCCUUUGUUAUAUUAAUGAUUCAAUAAGAAAAGAGCCAACUAGAUGACAUUACUAAAUUACUGACUUUUCAGGCAAAAAGAGCUAAAGUCUAAGUCUGUGUCAGUAGCACAAGAGAAAGUAUACCUCUGAAAUAAUGUAUUUGCUCCUGGUUUGACUGGAAAUCAAUACGUGAGGUACAAUCCAAAUUCUUGUUAGUAUUACUAACAGAGUAAUUCCUAGAGUGCAAAUCUGAAGAGCAACACUAAGAACAAAGAAAUGGGAUGUUCAACAGCUAUGACAUUUUGGUGAUUCACCAGUGAGCAGAGAGAUUUUAAUUUAUUAGUAGCAAAGAACAGGUGAUCCCAUAAUAGAAAAGAAGCAUCUCUCUGCCGCUUAUUUGAUAUGAUGAAAUCUUCACUCCAUGUCAGUUUUUAAAGGAAGUGAAUUGCUUUGUGCUGCACUGUCUGAAUACUGCAGAGUACAGAGCUCCACAAAAAUUAUCCAGGUGCUAGAAAACUGUGCUGCACUUAACAAGGAUUCUGGAACUCAGUACACUUGGUUACCCUAAAAGAAAGCUGAGAAGUUAGUUGGUCAUUUUCUUGGGCAUUAAGUAUGUGACAGCAAGCAGCAAGGAGGCAUCACAGGAGCAGGCGACUAGAAGGUGAAGUUUGACAGUCACAUCUGAAAGAGGCCGGGUUUCCUUUUGACAAAGGUGUUUAAAUAUUGGUGAGUUCCCUACACAGCAGCACCAUCAUAUGAAGUCUCUAAAAGGAUGAAAAACAGCUUCAGAAAUCUAUAAUCUUUUUUUCCAAGAGAAUAUUGUGUUCAAGUCUGCUAAGUAGAUGACCAGGGUAGUCUGUGCUGGCCCUUGAAUCCAUGAAGCCUUUUUGCUUGUCUUGAAUGCAAGGAUUUUCCAGAGUAGCUGUGGGACCUAGGGCUACCCCUCUGCGACAGAAGUAGCACAGCAGCCUGCUAUCUGCUCUGUGCCAUGUGAAGGGGAGAACAGCUUGUGCCUUGGAGAAUUUUCAUUCCUGCUGCUCCUUCAACAUUGCUACUACUACCACUACUGAAGAAAUUCAGCAACCCAACACCAAGGCCAGAAACAAAAUCAAAAAGAACAUGAGGCUGGGUACACGCAGUGAGUGAUCUGUAACUAUGACUAUUCAUAAUAGGAGAUAAAAGGAGAAACAGACUAUUUUAAGCUACAUGGUGUUUUUUUCUCAUACAUUGUAGGCUAUCAUCCAAGGACUAAGGCAUCGAUGCACAGGGGUCUCCAGGCCUCUCACUUCUCUGAGCUUCCAUUUAUCUGGCAGCUGCUGCUUGCCCUUGAGCUAUCAAGGCUUGGCUUAGACUGUUUCCACUGGAUGACUAGUGGUGUGUUCUGGUAUCCAGAUAUGCACACUGAAUAUAGCAAAUGAUUCUCGGUUCUAUUGAGAAGGAACAUUUUUUCAGUCACUUUGCUGAUCUCUUCAUUAUUCAUGGGAUUUUCACAUCAACACCCCAAAACUUUCAAAACAACCACUUACUGUAUGUUUAGUUGGUUUAUAUAACAUUUCAGUGCUGAAAGUGGCAAAGCCAAGCUGCAUUUCACAUAAGCAAAUGAUUUUUGCAGAUGCUUACCCAUCUACCUUUAGAGGAGUUGGACAUUGGCAGAUCCUGAGCAUUGAUCCCAUAUAUAUGUAUUGAUGGCAUCUCCAUAAGAAUUUACAUUCUUAGGUCCUUGCUUCCAUGCAAAUAAAAAACAGCUUGGGAUGAAGUUGGUUUUGAAAACAAGUGUUAAAAUAUGCUUUUGCACUAAGGCUAUGGUAAAAGAUCAGUUAAUUUAUUAGUCUUCAGAAGUAACCAAAGUCAUUCUAACAAUUUAACAGAUUUUCUUUAAAAGCUUAUACUUUUUUCCUGUAAUCUCUUAUUUGCACAAUUCCACAGUGGCUAAUUAAGAUUUACAAGAAAAUCCAGAAAUGAGACAAAUUCUGCAGAUUUAACUGAUAUAACAACCAUAAUCCAUAU